rnacentral:lncRNA from 1 species
UAUUCAACCAUCAUUGAGGGAAUUGUCCAAUUUGGAAUCACUAGACCUCUCUUCAAAUUCUCUUGUUGGAAGGAUUCCUAUGCAGUUAACAGAUUUAACAUUUCUGCAAGUAUUUCGGGUUUCAGAUAAUCGACUUGAAGGACCCAUACCUGAAGGAAAGCAGUUCAACACAUUUGAUACAAGUUCAUAUGAAGGAAAUUUGGGAUUAUGUGGAUUUCCACUAGAAAAAUGCAAUAAUGGAGAGAGGCAAAAACCAGAAAUAUCCAAGGAAGAUGAUUCCAAUUCUAAAUUUGGAUUUGGGUGGCAACCUGUAGUGGCAGGGUAUGGAUGUGGAGUAAUAUUUGGUAUUGCAAUGGGAUAUCGUGUGUUUAAAACAAGAAAACCAAUAUGGUUUGUGAGGAUAUUUGAAGGACGAAGACGUCCAAAGCCAAAAAGAUUCAAAAACUAGGAUUUCUUGGUAUUUACAGGUAAUGUUUUGUAAUAUUUGUUUCUUCGCAUGUAAUUUCAUCUUAAUCAACUUUCUUUUUAACAUGAGUUUCUUACAAUUCUUCUUCUUUUUCUUUUUUCAUAAAAUUUCUAACAUGUUAGGUAGAUGAAGAAUAAGUGAGCAGAUGCAAAAUGAAGAUACAGAUCGGACAUGAAUGCAGUGGAAAACAUAGCAUUAUAUUUCUUUUUCUUUUUUUUUUUCUUUUAAAAAUAUUGUCUUUUACAUAUAUAUAAUAUAUAUAGAGGGAGGAGAAUUAAUAAAAUAAUUUCAAUUUCAUCGUCACUAUUUAAACUUUUACAUAUAUAUAAUAUAUAUAGAGGGAGGAGAAUUAAUAAAAUAAUCUCAAUUUCAAUUAUUAUAUAAUUAAAAUAAUUAUUUCAAUUUAUUUAAAAAUUAUUUAAAAUAAGAGAAUUAAUAAAAAGAAUAAUUAAAUUAAAUUCAUGCAAAAUCUUAAUUUCAAUUAGGAGGAUAAUGUGAAUAUAUAUUAUGAAUGACCUCUCAAAGGAGUUUAUGAAAUCUUUAGCAAGUCUCUUUGUGAAUAUAUAUUAAUUUUUAUGUUUACUUUUAAUUCCAUAAUUAAUAAUAAAUUUAGUAUAUUAUCUUUAAGACAUUGUAUGUUAUAAGAUAUUUAAGCAAUACAUUACAUGAAUUAAAUAACUUGAUGUAUUAUAGUAUAUAGUGAAUAUAUAAACAUGAAAAUGUGAGACAAAAUUUGAAAAAAUUAAUAAUAUUUAAUUUAUUAAUAUUAUUAUUUUAAUUAUCAAAUAAAAUUUAAUAUAUAGCACUCGCAUAUUUAAUUUAAUGAUAAAUACAUCUGAAUAAAUCUGAGAGAUUUUAAAUUUUAUUAUAUGUCUUAAGUCUCGAUUUUAAAAAUUAAACAGAAAGGUAUAAUUUAGUUUUAAAAAAUAAAACUUGUAAUGGGAGUUUUUGUUAAUUUUUAUUGUUUAAGUUGGGAAAAUUUUAUGAUAUUAUGUAAAAAUUUUAAAUUUAAAAAUUAUUUUUUUAUCUAUUAAUUUUAGGGUGAGUAUUUAGUUAGUUCGGUUUUAAAUCAAGUCAAAUUGAAUAAAUCAAAAAUUAAAAUUUUAGUAUUUAUAAAAAUCAAACCAAAUUGAUUUUAGUUAAAAAUCGAAUCAAGCUGAAUUAGUCUGAUUGAGUUGGAUUUUGUUCGAUUUGAUUGAUUUUAAUUUUUAAUAAAUUUUUUAUAUUUUAUUUUUAGAAUUUUAAAAUUUAAUUAAAAUAUUUUAAUGAUUUAAUUUCUUUAUAUUAUUAAAAAUAAUAUAUUAUUAUUAUUAAUCGGUUCGGUUCGUUUUUUUUUAUAAUUUUUUGAUCAAAAUUAAAUCGAAUCGAAAUAACUAAAAAUUUUUAAAAUUAAAAAUCGAAUUGAACAGAAAUGAAUAAAAAAUCAAACUGAAUUUUUAAAUUAAUUUGAUUCGAUCGAUUUAAAUUAAAUACUGCUCACUUCUAAUUAAUUUAAUGAUUUUAAAAAUAAAACUUUUUGAAUAUUUUUAAAAGUUUCCAAUAACUAUAUUUCAACCUUUUAGUCUAGUUUAAGAAAAAUAAAAUUUUAUUUAUAUCUAAAUUACUAAAAAAAAUAAUAUUUAUAUCAGUUUCAAUUUCUUAAUUCACCUUCAUCAAUAAAUAAAAAGAAUUGUUCCGAAUAAAAUUUCUUAAAUUAUCUUAAUAAUAUAAUUUUAAAGUUAUAGUUAAAUUAAAAAUCUUUACAUAUGACAAGUGCAUGAAAUUGUGAAACCGGUGAGGUUUUUUUGUGAUUUACAGUAAUUUUUGUGAAAUUUAAUAAAAUUUAUAAGUAAUUAGUCAUUAAAUUUUCAAUAACAAAUUAGUUUUUAAAUUUAUUUUUUAUUUAAAAUAGUUUUUUUAUUAAAAAAAUAUAAAUUACUGUUAAUUAAUUAUAGAUAAGAGAUUUUACAUUUUUUAACGAUGAAAAUACUCUUUUAAAUGUUAAUAUUAUUUUUAUAAUAGACCGUUAUUUUAUAUAUUAUUUUAAUAAUAAAAAAAUAAGAAAUUAUUAUUUUAAUUUUAUGAAUUUUAUUCAUUAUUUUUCUUAUUUAUUGUUAUAAUAAAUAAUUUUUAUUUUUAAAAUAUAAAUUUAAUAUUUUGUAAAUAUAAAAAUUACAGAUUUAUAAAUUAAUGAUUAAUUUUAUAUUUAAUUAAAAAUUAAUUUUUAUAUUUAAAAAUUCGUCUAAAUUAAUUUUUAUAAAUAUAAAAUUUUUUAUACUUCAUUAAAAUUAAAAAUUAAUUUUUAUACUCACAUAUUAUAGUUGGAGUAUGUUUAAAUUGAUUUUUAUAAGUAUAUAAAUUUUUAUAAUUAUAGAAAAUUGAUUUUUAUAUUUUAAAUAUUAAAUUUAUUCAUUUCGAUAAUAAAAAAAAUAAUGGACACUAAUUUUUGAAAAUUAAAAUAAUAAUUUCUCAAUUUUUAUAUUAAAUUAAUAAAUAAAAAUAAUUUUUUUAUUAAAAAAGAAAAUAUUAACCUCUUAAAAAAGUAUUUUAGUUAUUAAAAAAUUUAAAUUUUAUAAUCAAUGAUCAAUUAAUAGUAAUUUAUAUUUUUAUUAGUGAAAUAAUUAUUUUAUUAAAUAAAAAUUAAAUUUAAAAAUUAAUUUAUUAUUAAUGAGAGAUUAUUUUAUAAAUUUUAUUAAAAUUUAGAGAUAUUACUGUAAAUUAUUAUUAUUAUUUUUGGUCUUUUUAAAAGGGCUAGAGGGUGAGAAAACAAGUCCAGUUAGUAUACGGGUCCAAGUUAUGGUGCUGGGUUCGGGUCAAAGCCUGCCCAAAUUGUGGACAGAAAGCCCAAAAUGAAGCCCAUGUAUAACUUAUCCUUACUCCUCAGCCGUGCGACGCCUGAGCUGAAAGGUGAAAGUUGAAAGGUGAAAGGUGAAACAUAAGAACGUUUGAUGAGGGACGACCAGCAAAACGACAAAGUUAUUGACGUUUUAAUUGGCGCGUGGAAGCCCACUCCCUUCGUAAAAGUUGAGCUUGUACACCAGUCCCUCCUUCCUCGGCCAGUCCUCUCUCGUCUUCUGGUUCAGUUUGCUUCCAACCUACGAAAAGGUAAAUGUUUUUUUUUUUUUCUCAUUUUCCAAACCCUAAAUUUCGAAUCUGCUGUUACAAUUCUUAAUUCCCUCUAUUUUCAUUGACUUUUAAUAUGCAAUGUCUCUCUAAAAUCUGAAAAAAGAAGGAAAAAAGGAAAAAAGGAAAAAGAAAAGCUGCUUUCUCCCUAUUCUCAGUGCUGGAUCCUUUCACUACAUCCAUGGAGGAGUCUCACAGCAACCUCCCUACUAGCCAUUUACUGGGCUCUGUUCCUGUAAGCACUGGCUUUUUUAGCAUUGAUUAUGAUUGAUUGUUCAUGUUUCGAUGUUAUUUUUUUUGGUGGUUAUUCAUUCUUUGUUUGGCAUUUUGGGUUUUUUUAUGUCGAAGCAUUUUGGGGUUUAAUUUUGAAGUAAAGGUUUUGGUAAUCAAUUGCAUAAUCUACAUUGAUAAAGUUUUGGUUUGUUUGGAGAAGUCGGUGCUUUUUGGUUUUUGAAGAAAUAGGAGUUUAACUAUGACCGAGUUCAAUAGUAACGCUAUUCUUAAAUAUGGAAUUUUGUGGGUGAAAUAAAAGCUUUUUUUUUUUAAAGGAUAAUUUCAUUUUUAUUUAUGUUGAUUUAAGUGAAGUGCGUGAAGCUUGUUGAUGCAAAAUAGAUUUGGGUAAAAAUAGUUCAAUUAGAGCUUUUUUAAAAGCAUAAUUUCAUUUUUAUUUAUAUUGAUCUAAGUGAAGUGCAUGUAGCUUGUUGAUAUAAAAUAGAUUGGGGUAUUUGUCUUUUUCUUUUCCUGUUAAUCUUGUUUAAUAGAUAAUUUGAUUAGUGGUUUUUUAAAUGAAUAAUUUCAUUUUUAUUUAUAUUGAUUCAAGUGAAGUACAUUAAGCUUGUUGAUGCAAAAUAGAUUGGGGUAUUUGUCUUCCCCCCCUCUUAGUAUUGUUUUGCAGGUAAUCUGAUUUAGUCUCUUUCUUUUUCCUCCUUGCCUUAUAGGCAGUGGUCAGUGAAGAAAAAAGUACCACCACCUAUGAAGGUAUAAUUCAUUCUCAUAAAAAUGUUUGGCUAAUGAUCAUAUUGAACCUGUAUCCAAAAGCUAGUAUUUUGAAAAGAAAAAAUUGUUUGUGAAUUUGUAUGUAGUCCCCGAGGCAAAUAUGCAGACAUUCCCUCCAAAUAAUAAUAGGGGAGGAGGUAGCAGCCGUGGUUAUCAAACUCUUGGAAAUCUAUCGGGUAUGGUUGUUAAAUAUUUAAUUUCCAUGGUUUUGAGUGUCCUAUUCUGGUUUAUUGAUCUUGGCUUAUGUUCUUUUUAUCCUAAGCAUUUCUUGCUAUUAUUGAAUUCUUGUCUUGGUCAUAUAUGUUGUUAGGUUUAUGCAAAUUGGUUCUCAAACAAUGUGCAAAAAUUUACUUGUAUGCUAUGCAGAAUUUGUACAUGCAUAUAUGCAUGUUCACAUUCCUUUGCCUGUAAGGGCAAUUGCUUUGAUUGGAAAUGUGAAAAGUAAUAGGCUAAUAACACCAUUUUGGUGAAAUCNNNNNNNNNNNNNNNNNNNNNNNNNNNNNNNNNNNNNNNNNNNNNNNNNNNNNNNNNNNNNNNNNNNNNNNNNNNNNNNNNNNNNNNNNNNNNNNNNNNNNNNNNNNNNNNNNNNNNNNNNNNNNNNNNNNNNNNNNNNNNNNNNNNNNNNNNNNNNNNNNNNNNNNNNNNNNNNNNNNNNNNNNNNNNNNNNNNNNNNNNNNNNNNNNNNNNNNNNNNNNNNNNNNNNNNNNNNNNNNNNNNNNNNNNNNNNNNNNNNNNNNNNNNNNNNNNNNNNNNNNNNNNNNNNNNNNNNNNNNNNNNNNNNNNNNNNNNNNNNNNNNNNNNNNNNNNNNNNNNNNNNNNNNNNNNNNNNNNNNNNNNNNNNNNNNNNNNNNNNNNNNNNNNNNNNNNNNNNNNNNNNNNNNNNNNCCCGCAGCCACCCACCCACCCACUCGCUAAAGCCAGAGUCUCUUCUCUCCAUCCUUCGCGUCUCUCUCUCACGGCCAUCUCUCGCGUCUCUCUCUCACGGUCAUCUCGCGUCUCUCUCUCACAGCCGUUGCUCGCGGCUCGCAUCUCUCCGUGACGACCGUGGCUCGCAUCUCUCCCUUACAAUCGUGGUAAAUUAUAAUUAUGGAGUAGUUUAAACUUAAUUUUUUUAUAUUUUUGAAACUAUCUAAUACUAGUUUUGGAUGUCUAUAUUUUGAUGUUGUUUGAAUUAUUUUAUAAUUUAACUAUUAUAUUUGAUUAAGUAUAUUAGGUUAGAAGUUGUUGAUUAAUUUGGAUUUUAUGAUUAAUUGAUUGAAUUUUAUGAUUAAUUAAAUAUAUCAAUAACAUAAAUAUUUAAAAAUUUAUAUCAAUAACAUAAAUAUUUAAAAAUUUAUGUCAAUAACAUAAAUAUUUAAUUUGCAUUAAAAAGACAAGUAAUGACUUCGAGAAUUUUGAGUGAUAUCAUUAGUUAAAUGGUUGCGGAAAAAAUGUCACAGAAGUUAUGCGUAUAGAAUGGUAUACAAGAUGGAGAAGAAUAGAGUUUGAGUCAUAAUUUCAUACUAGAAAUUGACUUAAAUGUCUAAUAAUCAACUUACAAUAAGUAAAAAACGUGUUUGAUUUUAUAUGCACCUAAGAAUUUGAGAUUCCAUUGCUAGGUAAGAACAAAAACUUCAUUUUUUUUUCUCUAUUUGAUAUUAUUUAUUUGGGUAAACUACAAUUUAGUCCCUCUAGUUUAGUGAAAUACAACCUUUCGUCCCUCUGUUUUAAAAAAUCAUCAAUUUAGUCAUUGUGAUUUUUAAAAACUAUACCAUUGGUCCCUCCCGUUAGAUUUUCAGUUAAGUCACUUUUAAUUUUAAUUAAAAGACUAAAAUACCCAUAACAGCUUCUUCUCUAAUACUUUCCACGACUUUGUAUAUUUUCUUUCUUUUUCUCUUUCUUUCUCUCUCUCUUUCCAGAAAGAAAAAAAAUAAUGCACAGACAAAUUAAUAAAGGAUGUCGAUCACCAGUUGCUCACUCGAUACCAGCGGCGGAUGGGAGAGAAGAUAUCUGAAUAAAAAUUACAAGUGUGGCAUUAGGACUACUGUGAGGAUUUUCUGAAUCUGAAAGGAACAAGAACUCGCUCUCUCGACAUCAAUGGCUUCCAUAUCUCUUUUAUAGCUUCUGUUUCUAAUCCCAAAAUCCAUAUGAAAUGACGACACAGCACUGUUUGGCGAUGACAUUGCUACUUCUUCUUCUGCCUCCUCCGCUGAUAAUCUGUUCACAUCAAACCCUCUGCCUGAUCCGACCCGAUUCAAACAUCAUUAUAACGUUAAGAACAAAAAGUACCCGCAAGUUAUAAAGCGAAACAUGCAAAACUCAGAUCUUCAACACCGUAGCAAAGCUGUGAUGCAUUAAAAAUCACAGAAUAAAAAGGAGAAAAGAAUUUCACCUCAGAAUCAGUAAUUUGAUAUCGGACAACAAAUACAGAGCGUCGCCUCCUUGAAUUAUUAUCGGAAUUAACCUGUCCCCCGACAUAGCCAUUUCGACCAUUAGCUUUCCCUUCACCAACUCUCGAACCGUGCCUCGACACGGACCUCCCUCUUCUCUGCGACACACUGACUUUAUCCCCAGAGCUGACAUCAUCAAUUCUCGAAUAAGAACGGCCUCGAUCAGCAGAACUGAAGAACUGAACAGCGAGAUCGUCGAGAGUAACAUCCGGGAAACCCAAUCCCCUAACAGUGUUGACGAACUUCCCUCUUGGAAGGGGCGUGUCGCCAGAUAAGUUAUCCCCUGAUGGAGGCAAAGGCCGGGAGAAACGGCUGAGGCUCCGAGAGCGGUGGUGAGCCGAGGAGCUUUGAUUGGAAGAAGAGGAGUCAUCGGUGGACGAAGCAGAGGAUUUCGCAAUGGGGGUUCGCUUGGUGGUGGACCUGAACGCCGAAGUGGCCAUUUGGGAAGAAGCAUGGGUAUUUUAGUCUUUUAAUUAAAAUUAACGGUAACUUAACUGAAUCUAACGGGAGAGGCCAAUGGUAUAGAUUUUAAAAAUCACAGUGACUAAAUUGAUGAUUUUUUAAAACAGAGAGACAAAUUCUGAAGGAUUGAAUCGUGGAAGACUCAUGCUUAAAGUCGAUGUAAAAUCUUGGGUAUUUUGCGAACCAGUCAAUAGAGAGGUGAUCACUCAAUGAUCACUGUGUUGGUUUGUUUAGUUACUUUAAAUGGCUUGUCUACUUUUUAGCUUGUAAUCUGACUAUAGAUAAGCGUGGGCUGUCUUACUUGCAAUCAAGAAGUUACAUUUUCGGCGAUAAAGAGAAGCAUGGAGAAAAUAACUUGACAAGUUUAUUAUUUGGAGCUAUAUAUUUACUUAAUCAGACGUCCCAUUUCAUAAUGCUUCUUUUGUUAAGGCAAUAGAACAGAAGCUUUUCUUCUUUGUUGAAUCAUGUGUUUAUUCCCCAUGCUUUUGCCAUGUUAUUUUCAAAGCAUGGAAGUUAAUCUACCAACUCCACCCCAUGGCCUGGCAUGUAGGAUAUUGAUAUGCCUUUAACUUGUUCUUAAGUUUGCACUGGAUAGAGACUCUAUUUCUCCUAUUUUUGGUGUUGAAGUUUUAUUUUUCAGUUUUGCAGCUACUUUCAGUGAAAAGGUGACAAGAACAGUAAGAAAGUUCUCUCCACAUUUGGCAGCAAAGAUGAGGCCUCCUCACAUGUUAGUUGAUGCUCAGUUGCUUUUCUAUGUUUUUUUCUCGCGAUAGAAAUUAUGCUUACCACACUUGUAUUUACAGGCCUGUCAUUCGUGACCGUCCUUCAUCCAAAAAAUCAGUAUACAUCUGUGGCCAACCUCGUGGGGUGUUUGUCUUCUUAUUCUCAGCUGGUAGUUAGAUUUCUCAAAACUUUAUUCUCAAUCAGUAGUUCAGUACUGAUCUGUAAUGGUUCUAUGAAUUUUGCCUGAUCAAAUGAUUUUCUUUUCUCAGCCAGUUUUAUUCUGUGGUGCACUUCUGGCACUCUGCUGUUUGUUUUAUGGGCAUUUGGCAUCGGCCUCCUUGGUAAAUUCUUCAUCCUAUAGAUAAUGCUUUGAAUAAUUCCUCGCAUGAUAUUUCAGUUUUAAUGAGCCAGUAUAUUGUUGCUUGCAGUUACAGUUCUUCAUGCAAGUGUCAGGACACCUAAUCUGAAGGCACGCCUCAACACAUUCCGGGAAGAAUUUCGUGCUGUGUGGCGCAAUUAUAGUGAGCUGUGACUGCUCAUGGAGUUGAAGUGUACCACUCCAUCCCUGAUUCGCAACUUCAAUUUCAGUUAAGUUGCAAGUAUUCUUUGUACAUAUAAAUAUUGUCAAUUCAUUCGAUGGAGGAUGUUAGAAAAAAGAAAAAAAUUAUUCUGCUUGAUUUUCUUUUUUCCCCUUCUGUGUUAUGAAGUUCUCAGAUAUUUUUCUUAAAUAACUUUGACCUUCUUCUGUGAUUUACCUGGAGUUCGAAUGUCAAAGAAAGAACUGUCGUUUUAUUAUCCAUUUUAUUUCUUAUUGUUAUUAUUUUUUUUGUUGCAUCUAUUUAUUUGGAUGAGGAGCUUGUUUGAAUCUUGGACUAAUAUCAAAUUUAAGACAAAUAGUUUGUACUGUUCUCCUCUUCUACUGUAUCAGGGUAUGCCAUAAUUCAUUAGCUCUCCUCUUUGGCAACUUGUCUGGAUCGGUUCUUCAUGAACCAAAUCACAUCUAAAACAUAAAUAUAAUGUGUUUUUUUUUUUUUAAAUUAUGUUCAGUAACACCAAUUUAAUUUGCCUGAAAAGACAAGUAAUGACUUGAUCAUUCAUCUCAUUAACUUCUUAGAGGGACAAGGCAAGUGACAGGAGCCACACAUGGCCAUAAAGGUAAAUACACAAGCAUGGACUUUGAAGAGAAACCUGAGAUGAAUAUAUAUAAGUUUAACUCAGGAAAACCCCUUACAAACUAACCGGUCGCCCAAUCCAAAUCUGAAAAAAACCAAACUCACUGUCUAUACUGCGAAAAAGAGAUCUUUGUCCUGAAGUAUAAAUGAACUUUACUGUUUUUGAGUUAUUAUUCAAAAUUUGUCUAAAAAAAAAAAUAUCGAACUGAUUCGAUUUUUAGGUGAGUUAAAUUCGAAUUUAAUUUUUAAAUUCACUUAGUAAAUGAUUUAAAUUUGAGCUCUAUAAUAUUUGAUUUGUUAAAACUCGUGAACUUAAUUCGUUUUCGAGUUUAUAAAUAAGCUCACUAACAGACUUACGAACAGUUUUAUUAAAUAAACUGAAAUUAAUAUUAUAAAAAAAUAAAUUAGUUUUACAUAUAUUUUUAUAAAUCAAAUUUAAAUUUAUUAAAAUUUAAUUUUAUAUAAUUUAAUUAUAUUUUUAAAACUUACAUAUAUUCAAACUCUUAAAAUUUAAGAAUUCACUUUUUUAUAAAUUUAUGAGUUAAUUUAUAUAUAUAAUUAAAUUUAAUUUAAUUUAUAUAUAUAAUUAAAUUAAGUUUAUUUUUUAUAAAUUUACGAGUUAAUUUGUAUAUAUAAAUAAAUUAAAUUAUUUGUAAAUUAAAAUUUAUUAUAUAAAUAAAUUAAAUUAUUUAUAAAAUAUUAAAGAUUAAAUUCAAUAAAAAUUUAAUUUGUCUAAAUUCAUUUACUAUAUGAGUUAAAUUUAAAUUUAUCAAUAUUUGAUUCAAAUUCGAAACGAGUAAAAUUUAAAUUUAAUUUAAAUUUAAAUUUUUUUUAAUGAAUCUAGUUUGAGUUCUUUAAAUCUCAUCUUGACUCUAUUUAUUUAGAUCUGUACCCUCGCCCUCGCCCUCGCCCGUCACAAUAUCCAAAUCCAACUUUUCUGAGUUAGCUAGAAAUAGCCACCAUUGAAAGAAUCUCUCAUAUCUCCUACAAAACUCAAAAGUAACAAUAAGUUGAGGAGUUGCCGGUCACAAUACCUACAAAUCCAACUUUUUCUAAUUAGCUAGAAAUAGCCGCCGCUCACAGAACCUCUCAGAUAUUUUUAAAAAUUCAAAGGUAACAACAAGCUGAGAGGGGUGCAAUCGAUCAGAAACAUGAUCCAUGCACCUUCGGGCUCUGAACCACGAGGGGACCGACUACGAGAGACACUGAGGUUACACUUACAAUUUCGAAAAUAUACUAUUUGUCAAUAUUUAUUUAUCAUUAAUAAAAUUUUAUCAAAUAAAAAAAAUAUCAUUUUAAAUAAAGGGACGAUUAUAUUUAAUAAAUUUUUUAUUUAAAAUAUGAACAAUUAAAGUGAUAUAACGAUAAAUUUAUUUAAAAAAAUAUCAAUUCUAAAAUUUAAUAAAAAUUUACAAUCAUUCAAAAUUAAAGUCAGUUAAAAAACAUUUAAAUGUGAAAACUGAAGAGAUUGAACCACCUGCAAACAGUCAUAAGAAUGCAACUAUUAAAAAAUAAAAAAUUUCGUCACAAAAAUCAAAAAGUGAGGAAAAGCUAAAAUUUCAACAAUAAACUAUACUCUCAGAAUUUUCCACAAUAAAAUCGUAACUAAUAAAAUUUUGAGAUUGAAACAAAAACUCAUCAAUUUGAUAAAACCAACUGAAAUUAUCCAAACUUUACAAAUCUCGGCGGAACAGAAUUGCCAAAAUCAUGCAAUCACAGUCUUGUCGGUCUAUUUCAGCAGCCGGUCUAUUUCAGCCGCGAAAAUCUCCAUAUAACCCAGUUUCCUACAUAAAUAACAAAAAAUUAUAUUUUCCACAUAAAUAAUAAAAAAUAGUCAAUUUUUCAUAUUGAAACUUUACAAUAAAUACAGUACCAUCAUUUCCAAUAAACUUAUUUCACCGUUUCAAAAGUUACCAAAUAUUUAAAUAAAUUUUAAUUCUCAUAGAAUCCAACAAUAUAACUUAUAUUUUCUUUCAAAUAAAUAAAAAUUAAUUAUACAACCAAGAAUUUCUUUUCCUAUAUCUUUAAAAUUAACAUUAUUAAAUUGUCAAUUUUUAGAUUAAAAGCCACUUUUUAUCUAAAAUUAUAUAUUAUAUUGAGAAGACUAAUAGCAUUAAUUAUUAUUAUUUCUUUUCAUUUUUACUUUAUAUCUCCUAGACACGGUAAUUAAUUUUAUUAUUUUCCAAACUUAUUUUAUUAUUUUUCUUUCACUUUCUUUUAGUUACGUCACUUUUGAAAUAAUUACAAUAAACUCGAGCUCUUAUGAAAAUAAAUUAUCAUUAUAUUAAUAUUUGUAUUUAUUUUUAUUUGUUAAUUGUAUACACUUUAAUUAUUUAUACAUAAUUUUUUAUUAUAAAAAUUUUGUCUAGUAUAAUUUUUUAUUAUAAAAAUUUUGUCUAGUAUAAUUUUUUAUUAUAAAAAUUUUGUCUAGUUAUAUUAAGUUUAUUUUAUAGAAAAUUAAAUUUAUUUUAUUUGCAACUUUUUAUUUUUUUUAAAUUUCUAUUAGAUGCUCGUAGAAAUAAAUGUUACAAUUUUUUUAUUAUAAUAAAAUUGUAUCUUUAUUUUAUUUAUAUAUAAUAAAUUUUACUGUCAAAUUAAUUUAAUUUUUUUAAUAUUGUGAUUAUAAGCGUAUAUAUAUUUAAUAUUGUGCAUUUUUUUAUAUAUUUAUACUAAUAAAUAAUUUAUUAUUAAUAUUUAAAGAUAAUAGCGGGUUGAAUACUCAAUCUAAUUAAAUUUAUUUUAAAUUCGAUUAAAAUUUAUUAUUAAUUUAUUUAAAAAAUAUUUAAAUUCAUUUAUUUUGUGAAGUUUAAAACUUUAUCUAAUUUGACUUCCCUCGAAACUUUUUUUAAAAAUUUAUAUCAAUAACAUAAAUAUUUAAUUUGCAUUAAAAAGACAAGUAAAGAUGGAGAAGAAUAGAGUUUGAGUCAUAAUUUCAUACUAGAAAUUGACUGAAAUGUCUAAUAAUCAACGUACAAUAAGUCAAAAACGUGUUUCAUUUCCAUUGCCAUGUAACAACAAAAACGUGUUUCUCUAUUUGAUAUUAUUUAUUUUAUAUUUUAAUAAUUUUUAUAAAAUUAUAUAAAACUUUUAUUUUUUUAAAAUAAUAAUUAUUUUAAUUAAAAAAUUUAAUUUCUUUAUUCCAAAAAAAGAAAUUAUUAUAAAUACCAAAUGCUUACCCUGAUUUUUUAAUAACUCAACUCCCUAUCUUCAUCAUCAAAAUUUGCUAAAGAGAAUGGCUAAUCUACUUUGGUUUGCUCACUCUAUCUGCCUUCUUUUGUUUCACUUGCAUUUUCAAGCUUUCCCUUCUCUAUCUUUUUCUUUCAAUUCCUCCUCUGCAGCCAUACAGUGCCAAUAUGAUCAGAGUCUUGCCUUACUCCAAUUCAAGACAUCGUUAUCCGUUAAAAGUGCUCCUUCUCCCUGGAGCUUCCUUCACCACCCUAAGCCUUAUCUCAAGACAGAGUCUUGGAAAGAGGGCACUGAUUGCUGUUGGUGGGAUGGGAUUACAUGUGAUAUGGAAACGGGUAAUGUAAUUGGCCUUCACCUUUCUAAUAGCUUCUUGUAUGGUCCUAUCUAUUCUAACAAUCCUCUUUUCUCUCUUCGCCAUCUCCGAAAACUCGACUUGUCUUUAAAUGAUUUCAACCACUCUCGAAUUGUUCCUCAGUUUGGCCAGUUUUCCAAGUUAACACAUCUUAAUCUAAGCUAUUCUGGUUUUGUGGGUCAAAUUCCUUCAGAAAUUACUUACCUGUCAGGUUUGCUAUCUCUUGAUCUUUCUUGGAAUUAUGAUUUGAUAUCAGAAACCACUAUUUUUACCAAGCUUGUUCAAAACCUAACCCAAUUACGGGAAUUGGACUUGAGUGAAGUAAACAUGUCUGUGGUUGCACCUAGUUCCUUGAUGAAUUUGUCUUCUUCUUUGACAUCUCUCAAACUUGAAUUUUGUGAAAUGCAAGGAAAAAUCCCCGAUAUCAGUCGUCUAUCUAAAUUGGUUUCACUUGAUCUUUCUUGGAAUUUUGGUGGUUUGACAAUAGAACCAAUGAUUUUUGACAAGCUUGAUAGAAAUCUAACCAAGAUAAGAGACUUAGCCUUCGGAGAUGUAAACAUGUCCAUGGUUGAACCUAGUUCUUUGAUGAAUAUCUCUUCUUAUUUAUCAUCACUUGGACUUCGAUAUUGUGAAUUGAAAGGGAAAUUUCCAGACAACAUAAUUCAACGAUCAAACCUCCAACUGCUUGAUUUAUUGGGUAAUGAAGAUCUCAACGGUUCCUUACCUCGGCAUAACUGGAAUAAUUCUCUCAGGUCUUUGUCUCUUUCUUUGACACAAAUUACAAUAUAUUUGGACCAUGAUUUUAUCAGUAAUUUGAAGUCUUUAGAAACUUUGGAGCUCUGUCAAUGCAAUUUUAGAGUUUCAAAUUUGAAAUUUUUGGGUAUGUUGACUCGACUCAUUACGUUGGAUAUCUCCUUUAAUAAUUUCAGUGGUCAAAUUCCAUCUUCACUUGGAAGUCUUAAGCAGCUCUCUUAUUUAUACCUUUCCGAUAACAAUUUCAGUGGUGAGAUUCCCUCCUCUUUUAAAAACCUUAAACAACUUCAGGAAUUGUGGCUCCAAAAUAACCAUUGUAGUGGUCCCAUUCCUCAUUAUUUUACAAACUUCACACUACUUUAUGUUUUAUAUUUAUCAAAUAAUAAAUUCACAGGCCCCAUCCCUUUCCAAGUAGGCGGGUUUUCAAGUCUAAUAUCCCUAUAUUUAUCUAAUAACUUAUUAAAUGCAACAAUACCACCCUCUGUGUUUAUCCUACCUCAGUUGCGCUAUUUAUUGCUCGACAAUAACCAGCUCACCGGUCGUUUAGGUCCAUUCCAAGAAAAUCCAUUGGUUCAUAUUGAUUUGAGCAAUAACAAGUUGUAUGGCUUCAUUCCAAGCUCAAUUUUCAAACUUGUGGACUUGAAUGUUCUCAUUCUUUCAUCCAAUAAAUUGAUAGGAGAAGUUUCUUCAGCAGUUUGCAACCUAAAUUCUCUCAAAAUUCUUGACUUGUCAAACAACAGUUUGAACGGCUUCAUCCCACAAUGUUUGGGAAAUUUCAGCAAUGAUCUCUCGGUGCUGCAUUUGGGCACGAACAAUUUCCAAGGAACCAUCCCUGAGACGUUUUCAGCAAGAGGCAGCUUGAGAUAUUUGAACUUCAAUGGCAAUCAAUUGCAAAGGAGAAUCCCUCUGUCCAUUUCUAAUUGUAGAAAUUUGGAGAUUUUAGAUCUUGGAAACAAUAAUAUAGAUGACUCAUUCCCCCAUUUCUUGGAAACUCUUCCGGAGCUGCAAAUUCUAAUUCUGAAAUCCAAUAAACUCCAUGGAUUUGUGAAAGGGUCCUCUACCAAUUAUUCCUUCUCAAAGCUGCGAAUGUUUGACCUCUCCGAUAACAUGUUGAGCGGGCCAUUACCUUCAGGGUAUUUCAAUAAUUUCAAAGCAAUGAUGAACUUUGAUGUCAAGAUGGAGUACAUGAGGACACCAAAUUUUUCUUACGAUUAUUCUGUGCGUCUGACACUCAAAGGAGUUGAGAUUGAGUUGGUGAGAAUCCAAACACUUCUUACAACCAUUGAUUUGUCAGGCAACAAAUUCACAGGGGAGAUCCCACAGUCUAUUGGAAAGCUUAAAGCACUUAAGUUGCUCAACUUUUCUCACAAUCAACUCACGGGCAAUAUUCAACCAUCAUUGAGGGAAUCGUCCAAUUUGGAAUCACUAGACCUCUCUUCAAAUUUUCUUGUUGGAAGGAUUCCUAUGCAGUUGACAGAUUUAACAUUUCUGCAAGUAUUUCGGGUUUCAGAUAAUCGACUUGAAGGACCCAUACCUGAAGGAAAGCAGUUCAACACAUUUGAUAAAAGUUCAUAUGAAGGAAAUUUGGGAUUGUGUGGAUUUCCACUAGAAAAAUGCAAUAAUGGGGAGAGGCAAAAACCAGAAAUAUCCAAGGAAGAUGAUUCCAAUUCUAAAU